rnacentral:rRNA from 1 species
GGGUUGUGAGGUUAAGCGACUAAGCGUACACGGUGGAUGCCCUGGCAGUCAGAGGCGAUGAAGGACGUGCUAAUCUGCGAUAAGCGUCGGUAAGGUGAUAUGAACCGUUAUAACCGGCGAUUUCCGAAUGGGGAAACCCAGUGUGUUUCGACACACUAUCAUUAACUGAAUCCAUAGGUUAAUGAGGCGAACCGGGGGAACUGAAACAUCUAAGUACCCCGAGGAAAAGAAAUCAACCGAGAUUCCCCCAGUAGCGGCGAGCGAACGGGGAGCAGCCCAGAGCCUGAAUCAGUGUGUGUGUUAGUGGAAGCGUCUGGAAAGGCGCGCGAUACAGGGUGACAGCCCCGUACACAAAAAUGCACAUACUGUGAGCUCGAUGAGUAGGGCGGGACACGUGGUAUCCUGUCUGAAUAUGGGGGGACCAUCCUCCAAGGCUAAAUACUCCUGACUGACCGAUAGUGAACCAGUACCGUGAGGGAAAGGCGAAAAGAACCCCGGCGAGGGGAGUGAAAAAGAACCUGAAACCGUGUACGUACAAGCAGUGGGAGCACGCUUCGGCGUGUGACUGCGUACCUUUUGUAUAAUGGGUCAGCGACUUAUAUUCUGUAGCAAGGUUAACCGAAUAGGGGAGCCGAAGGGAAACCGAGUCUUAACUGGGCGUUAAGUUGCAGGGUAUAGACCCGAAACCCGGUGAUCUAGCCAUGGGCAGGUUGAAGGUUGGGUAACACUAACUGGAGGACCGAACCGACUAAUGUUGAAAAAUUAGCGGAUGACUUGUGGCUGGGGGUGAAAGGCCAAUCAAACCGGGAGAUAGCUGGUUCUCCCCGAAAGCUAUUUAGGUAGCGCCUCGUGAAUUCAUCUCCGGGGGUAGAGCACUGUUUCGGCAAGGGGGUCAUCCCGACUUACCAACCCGAUGCAAACUGCGAAUACCGGAGAAUGUUAUCACGGGAGACACACGGCGGGUGCUAACGUCCGUCGUGAAGAGGGAAACAACCCAGACCGCCAGCUAAGGUCCCAAAGUCAUGGUUAAGUGGGAAACGAUGUGGGAAGGCCCAGACAGCCAGGAUGUUGGCUUAGAAGCAGCCAUCAUUUAAAGAAAGCGUAAUAGCUCACUGGUCGAGUCGGCCUGCGCGGAAGAUGUAACGGGGCUAAACCAUGCACCGAAGCUGCGGCAGCGACACUAUGUGUUGUUGGGUAGGGGAGCGUUCUGUAAGCCUGUGAAGGUGUGCUGUGAGGCAUGCUGGAGGUAUCAGAAGUGCGAAUGCUGACAUAAGUAACGAUAAAGCGGGUGAAAAGCCCGCUCGCCGGAAGACCAAGGGUUCCUGUCCAACGUUAAUCGGGGCAGGGUGAGUCGACCCCUAAGGCGAGGCCGAAAGGCGUAGUCGAUGGGAAACAGGUUAAUAUUCCUGUACUUGGUGUUACUGCGAAGGGGGGACGGAGAAGGCUAUGUUGGCCGGGCGACGGUUGUCCCGGUUUAAGCGUGUAGGCUGGUUUUCCAGGCAAAUCCGGAAAAUCAAGGCUGAGGCGUGAUGACGAGGCACUACGGUGCUGAAGCAACAAAUGCCCUGCUUCC